ACGGCACGUCCCGGCUGAUGCCGUGCUGGCUUGCCGGUCCUCUUUCCGGUCUGCUGCUUGAAGCCGCCACUGUUUCUCCACGUGCCCGGCGUGGUAGGGCACCAGGUCUCUCGAGCCCGUGCCAGUCGUCGGUCUUGCCUGCUGGUUUGCCUCCUUCGUUCUCGUGUUUAACAUGUACAGUACCAGAAUUACAAUGUCUACUCUGAAUUUCAAGGUUAGCUCACAGGGGCUGCAAGUAUGUUCUCUCUUCAGUUUAAGGAACAUGUGCGUUAUUGUGAUUCCAGUGACACUUACAAGAUGUCAGUUAAGUAGUGCAAUAUUACUUCAUUAGAUUUCUGUGUUUCGAUUUGUACAUGUAUGUAUUCUCUUUACUGUAUUUAUAUGAGCACGUUGAAAGCUACAGUCUUUCUCCUUUCGGCUCUCUGUUUUUUAUCUGUCUAAAAGUAAAGCAAGGAAAAUUAAUCCCUCUUCCUCUUGAUUUUGCCCUGUUAGAAUUGACUGAAAUGGAAUUUUAUAAGAAGCCCGUUGUAUCCACGAAGCGGAAUUGGCUUUCAACUCUUAUAUGCUUAAUUAUAUAGUUAGGAGGUUACUGUCAACAGGUGACAUUACCAGGGUUCAUGCUUCUCCUUCUGUUCCUUCUACAUACUCUGCUAUGAGAUUGCUAAACCACAUAUGCCAUGUGGUAGGGUUCAUGCUUCUCCUUACCUCUUGACAAAAUUUUCCUCUACAUGUGAAUAUAAACAACACCACAGGUUUCUCAUAUGAGUCUUUUAUGGUGUUCACGGAUGGCUGAAGCUUUUAGUAGCUAUGGAAUAGUGACUGUACAUUCUCCAGUCUUCACUAUGGAUUGUUUCUCUUUACAUGAAGUGUAGAUUUUCCCAGGACUACAACAAAACUCUGGCCAACAAGCAAUCCAUGAGGAUAUAUGAACUAUCAUCCACACAAUCUAGAUCGACAUAGUAGGAAGAUGAAUCGGUGCCUUGAGAGCUACCUUAAGAUGCAGGAUGUGCACACGUGUUUGUUUUCCACCAUAAUUAUGUGAGUUGAUUGCUCGGCAUUAUACGAAUUGGUUCAUGGUUUGUCCUCUUUGGAAAAUACCAAACUUUCUCCUCACUAUACUACUGUAUGCCGUGCCAGGUGUUGAAAUUUCUGGGUACACUAUUGUUUAGGAUAACUUUCUGCUUAUAUUCUGAUGCUUUACCUAUAACCAACUGUUUCUACUCGAAGUCCUUUGUGGUUGAUGAGAUUCUAGAUGAUGUGCUUUCUGAUUAGGUGUUACUGAGGUGAGUUUGUAUGAAUUUCUUAAUGCAAAUUUUUUCAGUCCAAGAAGCAUUAAAAUCUUGCUUCCGUCCCAAGGGAACAUGAUGAAAGGAUUUGUGCCAACUAAUCGUAUAGAUUAAUUAAAGGCACGGGUAAAAGAAGGUUCAGUUUACACCUUAGAAAAUUCAUCAUUGUUGAUGUGCGGAAUAAAUACAGAGUAGCAGAUCAUCCUUACAGAAUCAAAAUUACUCAGUGCUCAAAGGUUCAGGAAAUCACUCCACAACCUGAUAACCUUCCUCUAUUUUCAUAUAAUGCAACUCGAUUGAGGUCCUGCAGAUACGUGCAGUCGACAAUAGUCCUGUCAGGUAUUCACUUCACUGCACAUGUGAUCGAGUGCUUAUAUUAUUUAUGCUACUCAGUUAUCUAUUAUUGUUUCUUCUUAUUUUUCUACUCUGUAUUUAUUUCUGCUCUGUUAGGUAUUCACUUCAGUGCACAUGCUAGAUUAAAUUACACACUACCAUUGCGGCACACUGAUCUUACUCUGUUAUUUCCCCCAGCAAGCAGUAAGAUACCAUCUGCAUCAUCAGACCAACCUGUUCCAACUACCCGAGACAGAGAUGAAGCACUGUCGAUGUCGUUUUUCGUUGUUAUUUUCUUUCAGCUUUCUACUAGAAGCAUUAACUUCCCUGCUCAUUUUUCCGUUGGAGUUCCUCGCAGCAAUAGGCUUAGGAUAGCAGAUACAGAUACUGAAGUGCACAUGCUGCUGGUCAUCCUCGCUGAGCUCUGUUAAAAUUCUUUUUCAGUGCAACUGUUACUUAUUAAGUUUCUCAUGCCGCUAAAUUUGAAAUGACUGAUU